UAAAUAUUAAUUUUUAUUUAUUUAUUUAUUUUAUUUUUUUAAUUUUAAAUGCCAUUAUUUCUUAGGCUUAGAAAUGUUGCGUUAUUCAACAACCUGACGACCUCAAAUUCUUAUCAAUAUAAAAUGAAAUAAGUUUAUACUAUAAAACGGCAAGUAUGAGUAAUAAAUCAUUAAUAAGGGUGUAUCACAAGCAGCAUGAUCUUGUCUGAGGAAACCGGAAGCGCUGUUGUCUGCUGUGUGGCGUCACAGCAAUUUCCUCUUUAGCAAAAGGCAACAACGUCACAAUCUCAGCAACAGAGGGCGACAGAGAGCAACAAAUCAGUGCAGCAGUCCUACAGGUUUGAUUGCAGAUUAAUAAAUCGCAUAUUUUCAUGUAUCAACGCAGAACAAGGGCGAUAUAGAACUACAAACACUCUACAACUGCAUCACUAAUACAAUUUAGGUCUUCAGUUCAACUAACCUGACAUUCCAGUAACAAAAAAAAUUUAAAUAAAUAAAAAAAACCUAAAUGGAUGGAUGCUAUGACGAAAAGGCUAUUUUCUCGGCCAUAACGACUCGAGGGUUUCUAAGAAUAACCCUUCCUAGUUUCUAUAUUUGGAAAUGACUUCUAGGAAAAUAGAAACUGCCAGCUUCAUAUUCAGUUCCACGUGUUUAACUUCGCUCCCUUUUAAAGCAUAAGAAAAGCAUCGAGCAGCACGUGAGCGAUUUUUCAUACUGCCACCCAUUGAUGAUCAUUAAUAGACCGGAGAAUGUCCGCGAGGAAUUGGCGUGUGUUGCUGGAAAUGGCAUCUCCCCCUGCACGGCCCCUGCUUUACCUAGUAGCGUGACCAUGAAGCAAUGCACGAGCAGAGAGAUCUCAACAUGCACAGAGUCAGUCUGCUGCUCAUCUCACCAGCGGGAGCGCGUACAGCGUGCACUUAAAGAAAAAAUAUCUGAUUCCCAUCAGCCACAUGCUUCUUUCAACCCCACAGCGCGUCUUUAUUCAUUCGGGCUUCCAGCAACCAGCUGCACUUCAUGGCGAUAGAUAAAGAAAACCCCAUGCGCAAGGAGUUAAUAAGUCAAACAAGUAAGAGCAUUGUCUACAAUUUAAAGAUGCUCUCGGAGGAAGUAAACAAGCAGACUUGCAGACGUGACAUUAACGACCCUCUUCUUUCCCCCCUUCCAUGUGACUGCAGAGGCAUAUGACUUCCAUAACUUCAUCGCUCAUUAACCGCUGAUGGUAGGACACAAUUGAGCGAGUGUUUGUGGAACUUGCCCUAGAUAUUCAGAUCUCAGUCCUUGGCUCUGGCUGUUGGGCAGAUCUUCUCCUGUUUCAGAUAUCUUCACCCUGCCUGACAACAGACCGUCAGGAGCUUCACAUGAGAGUCCCGUGUAAGGAGUGAACUAUGGGAGAGAAAGGCCAGUUAUGUCCAUUUAAAUCCCUUAACAAGCACCACAGCAAACAAAAGACAGAUUAGCAUGAUUUACCAUGACCGUAUUAUUAAAUUACCUCAUCUACACAUGAGCCAACAAUUGAGUUACUUUUAUAGAUGUGUGCAGACGGUAUUAUGCAGGCACUGUGUAGGCUAUUCUUUGUUCAUUAAUGGUUUGGUAAACCACAUUUUGUAAGGUCUUGAAUAGAGCUAGCACUGGUUAGACCCAAAAAUUGCACAUUCAGAGGUAUCUUUCAAAACCAAUAUUCCCUAUUAGCAUUAAAGCUAUGCAUGCUAGACAUUGUCUGGGUUUGACUGGGAUGGGAUCUCGUUUAAAAAGCAAUGCAUUUAUAAAAUAUAUUGAUUAUAUUAUGUUGUAUAUUUUAAAAUAACGCUGAUAACUCUCAAACAAUAAAGUGAAAACGAUCAAAAUCCUAUUGUUGUCUGUGGUUCGUGUGUAAAUAUGAACUGAUGGUAUAAUGCCACCUAGUGGUAUAUUUCAUGCAACCAGCAGCCCGAUGUCUAGUUUCAUUCAGCCCAUACAUUCAUAGAAAAGACAACAAGCUCUAUUAAUGAACCUGAUGUCAUUUCUGUGUAAUGCUGGGAAUGAGAGCGAGGACAAGCAUUAGACCUAGAGAAAGGACGAACACCAUUUAUGAGGAGACUUUUAAGGACACAAGGUGGGUGUGAGCUAGAUUUCCUCUUUGGCCUAGAAAAGACAACACAAUCUUUGCCAGCUUCAGAAUUCCCAUCAUUCCCUGGAUAUUAACACAUUCAUUUUAGGUAAAGGAAAUUGCACACCAGACCAGCUAUGGUCACAUUCAAAGCACCAGAAUCAGUGUAAUACCUCUUUAAUGUUACACAGAAAUUCUUCUAGGCAUAAACUGUGUAUUAAAACUUACUAUCUUUCCUUUGGGACUUAAAAAGUAAUAAGAGUUGAAAGGUAUUCAGAUUAAGUGUAUGACGGGGUAUUUAAAAGUUAAUUCAGCAGUUCUAAACCAUUGUCCACACCAAUGUUCAAAAGACAACCAACUUUUUUGUUGUUUGUGAUUUACUGGAUAAGGAUUUCUAAAAAAUAUUAUUUCUUGUUUUAAGUCAUUUUAUGUCAUAAAGCAACUGUUUGUAGUUUUUGCGAUGUUGGAGCCCCCUACAGUUGAGUAAGAGGAAAUCCCUGUCGUAAAUACACCACUGUCGUAAUUAGAGUGGAUUGCUUUACGCUUCCGUGAAUCAUUUCACUCUUUUUGUGUCUCCAUUCUCCAAACUUAUACUUUGAAAGAUGUUUGGGGCAGAGCAGGGGAAGGAUCAGAAGCCAUUCGCCUUAUUAUAAGUAAAUCAUGAGAAUUAUUUUGAAACUGGUAGCCUGCUUCAAGGUUUUAAAAAAAAUUAAAAAAUUACAUACAAGUUGCUUUAAGCACACCAUGGAAGUGUGAGGCCCCCUACUGGGCCCUGGCCCCUGGUUAAGUGUGAAGUUAAAGUGCACAAUCAAUAUAAAAUCUGUGAUCUUUAUUCAUUCAUUCAAUCAUUCAUUGAUCCGUCCAUCUUAGGGCUAUAGUUUGAUGUUUGAUAAAAUUUAGAGAUUUUAAAAUAAACGUAUUAUAAUUUUUUUUUUAAAUAAACAAUCAUUUUUAUUUUUAUUUAUUUGCUGUUUACUGAGUGAAAUUCUGAAAAGCUAAAUUAAAGCCAUUUAAUGGUCUAUUGAAAGAUUAUGCAAUUUUUAGAUGGUGAGAAUUUAAGAUUCAAUUACAUUGAAUCUGCCUCAGAUGCAAUUAAGAGCUUCUCUGCCUGUAAAGGUGUGAACCAAAUGGUCCAUACAAUCCAAACAUCAAUGGUGUUCCUCAGUAAGUUCCAAUCCUUUACGUCUUGCAGCUAUUUUGUGUAUUUUAGCUCUCAGUGAUAUAGCAGCAACAUUCACAAAUGUUUACAGAAGCGGGAACCCAGUGUGCCUGUAGCUUUCUCUGUUUCUAUUUUAUCACGUGAUAGAAAGUCUACGGCCUUCUCAAGCAGUACGGCUGACCCAUCUAAUCUGCGGCCAUCAUACAAAGAUUACUGUAAAGACACAAAGUAGUGCCAUCAAGUUAGCAUUUUGAAACAUUCGCUUACUAAAAAAUAAAUAAUUUCUGAUCAAUGACUUAAUAACUGUGCACAAACAACCUGGAUUUUAUGUUUCUAAAUGAAACAUGGCUAGAAGACAGCUGCAGUGCAACAGUCCUCAAUGAAGCAGCCCCUCCUAACUGUAGAUAACUGAUGAUGUGUCAUCCAGUUAGUUAUAACAUACUUAAGUUAGGUUUAUGGAAGCUAUGUUCAUAUAUGGUAUUUCCCUGUGUUGAGGUGCCCCCUGGGAAAGAGGGCGGGGUGUUCUGGCAGGUGAUGUACUUGCUUCGUGGUGUUUGCGGGCUCUCCAUGUUGGCUAAUAAAAGAGUCAUUCUGAAAGAUAUAAACGUCUCCAUCUCUAUAACAAAGUACAUGGUGUCAGAAGUUAAAAUC
ensembl:lncRNA